CUCAUUAAAUCAGUUAUCGUUUAUUUGAUAGUACCUUACUACAUGGAUAACCGUGGUAAUUCUAGAGCUAAUACAUGCUAAAAACCCCGACUUCGGAAAGGGGUGUAUUUAUUAGAUUAAAAACCAAUGCCCUCCGGGGCUCUCUGGUGAUUCAUAAUAACUUCUCGAAUCGCACGGCCUUGCGCCGGCGAUGGUUCAUUCAAAUUUCUGCCCUAUCAACUUUCGACGGCUGGGUCUUGGCCAGCCAUGGUGACAACGGGUAACGGAGGGUUAGGGCUCGACCCCGGAGAAGGAGCCUGAGAAACGGCUACUACAUCCAAGGAAGGCAGCAGGCGCGCAAAUUACCCAAUCCCGACUCGGGGAGGUAGUGACAAUAAAUACUGAUACAGGGCUCUUUUGGGUCUUGUAAUUGGAAUGAGUACAAUUUAAAUCCCUUAAC
rnacentral:rRNA from 1 species